rnacentral:tRNA from 1 species
GCGGGGAUAGUUCAGUUGGGAGAACGUCAGACUGAAGUCAAACUUUAGCCGAAAUCUGAAGGUCGUGUGUUCGAUCCACACUCACCGCA